UAGGGGAGUACGUGAAACCGUUCAGGGGUAAACCUGCGAAACUCGAAUGAACGAACGGAGAGAUUCAUCGUCAUUCCGCGGCGUACGGACGCGCGCUUCGAUGUCGUCGGCCUCGGUCGGCGUGCACGACGCGCGUACGUCGACGUCCGCGGACGGCGUGCACUUCUCUCUUAGUAAAUACAUCGCGACCCGUUCGAUGUCGGUCUAAGCGCCGUUCGGGAGCCCCAUUGUGCCUUCACGGGUAUAGUGGGACCGCGACGGUGGCCGACCGGCCGUCGGACGGUAGUUCUGACGAAACGCGCACGCGUUUACAACGCGUCCGGCCCGACGCAAGUCAACGUCGUAUCUCACGUACCGCCUCAGCGCGGACGCGGGUGCGGCGCGUCUGCGUAUCGCCGCCGUGCAGUCUCGGACUGUGCGCGUCUCUGUCUGCGAUGAUUCAGUUUCGGGCACUCGCAGGACCCGUCUUGAAACACGGACCAAGGAGUCUAGCAUGUAUGCGAGUCAUUGAGACAAUAAAACUGAAAGGCGCAACGAAAGUGAAGGCGCGCGCUAGCCGCGCGCUCAGGGAGGAUGGAGCGUCGAUCUCGGUCGAUCUCUCGCACUCCCGAGGCGUCUCGUUUCCAAUCUGUGAAUGCAGGCGCGCUCUGAGCAUGAAUGCUGGGACCCGAAAGAUGGUGAACUAUGCCUGGU
rnacentral:rRNA from 1 species